UCCUGUUAUACCCAGGAAAUGCCCUGGAAGGAGACAGAACCCAUGGAAACAGCACAGAGGUCACCAUGUUUCAAGUUCCUGUCCUUGGCAACACAGUUAAAAAGUGAAUCUCCACAGUCCAGCCAUUGCUUACAAGAGAAGGGGCCACCUAUCACAGAUACUGAAUGUUUGAUCAUGGGACACCAAGUGACUGUGACAUCCAUGCUGCAUGUGGUGGUGGUGGUAGCGCAUUUGUCCAGCCAUAAAGUCAGGUGUGUCCAACAUUACUACAAAGGUGAGUUUAGGUUUAGAAAUGUAAAAUUGACUUCAGAGAAGAAAAGUUCUGAAGAAGUAGCAUCUCACUCAUUGUUCCCAGGAAGAUGAAAAGGUGAUGAUCCCCAGAAGCCUACAGUUGAACACACUUGUGACCCUAAGGGCAGGUAUGAAAGACAUUAAAAAAAAAACCUUUAUUGGUGAGGGAGAGGAAAUCUUCACCCCAAGAAAGAGAUCACAGAGUAGUCAUGAAAGUUAUACCAAAGAAAAUACUUAGGAGACAGAGAUGUCAUUAAUGUGAUGAAUGUGGAAAGUUCUUCACUAAGAAUUCAAAUUUUAUUUGACAUCAAAUAAUUCAUACUAGGGAGAGACCCUAUAAAUUUAAAGUUUGUGGGCAAGCCUUCAGUGGGAGCACCAACUUUUAUCUCCAUCAGAACAUCCACAGUGGGGAGAAACCUUGUAAUUG